rnacentral:rRNA from 1 species
CGGCAUACUGUUCAGAAACCCUUUUAAAAUCUAACCGGUGGAAGGGAAUAACCCCGGGAAAUUGGGAAUAAUACCCUAUAAACUAUGGAGGUUGGAAUGCGUUGUAUUCAAAAGGCCCGCCGCCACAGGAUGGUUCUGCGGCCAAUUAGGUUGUUGUUGGGGUAACGGCCCACCAAGCCUGUAAUCGGUACGGGUGGUGGAAGCAAAACCCCGAAAAUGGAUUCUAAAACACAAAUCCAAACCCUACGGGGCGCAGCAGGCGCAAAAAUUUUGCAAGGCGGAAAACCGUGACAAGGAAAUUCUGAGUGCCCGAAAAAUCGGGUUGCCCACCACUUUAAAUCACUGGUAAAAAAAGGGCCGGGAAAAACCGGGGCCAGCCGCCGCGGUAAUACCGGCGGUUCGAGUGGGGGCCAUUAUUACUGGGUUUAAAGCGUUCGUAGUUGGUUUGUUAAGUCCCUGGGAAAAUCUUCCGGUUUAACCGGAAGGCUUCUCAGGAAUACUGGAAAACUAGGAACCGGAAGAGGGGAGGGGUACUCCAGGGGAAGAAGUGAAAUCUUGUAUUCCUUGGGGAACCACCUGUGGCGAAGGCGCCUCACCAAAACGCCUCCAACAGGGAGGAACAAAAGCUGGGGAAGCAAACCGAAUUAAAUACCCGGUUAGCCCCUGUUGUAAACGAUGCGCGUUAGGUGUAUCAUUGACCACAAGUCACUGAGGUGCCAAAAAGAAAUCAUGAAACUUGCCGCCUGGGAAGUACGGCCGCAAGGCUGAAACUCAAAUGAAUUGACGGG